UACAGAGGUCUCAAGCGUUGUUCGGAUUCAUUGGGCGUAAAGGGUGUGUAGGUGGCGCCGUAAGUCGGGUGUGAAAUUUCGGAGCUUAACUCCGAAACUGCAUUCGAUACUGCGGUGCUUGAGGACUGGAGAGGAGACUGGAAUUCAUGGUGUAGCAGUGAAAUGCGUAGAGAUCAUGAGGAAGACCAGUGGCGAAGGCGGGUCUCUGGAUAGUUCCUGACACUGAGACACGAAGGCCAGGGGAGCAAACGGGG
rnacentral:rRNA from 1 species